ACGCCCGCUCAAGAAACGUUAAGGAAGUGACGGGGCCGCACAAGCGGUGGAGUAUGUGGUUUAAUUCGAUGCAACGCGAAGAACCUUACCUGGUCUUGACAUCCCGGAGACCCUUAGGAAACUAGGGGGUGCUUCCAUCUGGAAGAAUCUGGAGACAGGUGCUGCAUGGCUGUCGUCAGCUCGUGUCGUGAGAUGUUGGGUUAAGUCCCGCAACGAGCGCAACCCUUGCCUUUAGUUGCCAGCAGUUCGGCUGGGCACUCUAAAGGGACUGCCGGUGUUAAACCGGAGGAAGGUGGGGAUGACGUCAAGUCCUCAUGGCCUUUAUGACCAGGGCUACACACGUACUACAAUGGCCGAUACAAAGGGCAGCGACACUGCGAGGUGAAGCCAAUCCCGUAAAAUCGGUCUCAGUCCGGAUUGGAGUCUGCAACUCGACUCCAUGAAGUUGGAAUCGCUAGUAAUCGUGGAUCAGCAUGCCACGGUGAAUACGUUCCCGGGCCUU
rnacentral:rRNA from 1 species